GUAGGGAAUAUUGGACAAUGGGCGGAAGCCUGAUCCAGCCAUUCCGCGUGCAGGAUGAAGGCCUUCGGGUUGUAAACUGCUUUUGUACGGAACGAAAAGCCUCUGGUUAAUACCCGGGGGUCAUGACGGUACCGUAAGAAUAAGCACCGGCUAACUACGUGCCAGCAGCCGCGGUAAUACGUAGGGUGCGAGCGUUAAUCGGAAUUACUGGGCGUAAAGCGUGCGCAGGCGGUGAUGUAAGACAGUUGUGAAAUCCCCGGGCUCAACCUGGGAACUGCAGCUGUGACUGCAUUGCUGGAGUGCGGCAGAGGGGGAUGGAAUUCCGCGUGUAGCAGUGAAAUGCGUAGAUAUGCGGAGGAACACCGAUGGCGAAGGCAAUCCCCUGGGCCUGCACUGACGCUCAUGCACGAAAGCGUGGGGAGCAAACAGGAUUAGAAACCCGGGUAGUCC
rnacentral:rRNA from 1 species